UUGAAAUAAAUUGCUCUAAAGGCCCGUCCACAUACAGCUUUGGCGUUGCGUCGGCGCUGGCGUCGCUUUGACAGCAGCGCGAGUAACGCCCGUGCUUUCUACAAUGAACGAGUAGCAGAGAAUACUUUGGUCACUAAAUUAACAUACUAG